rnacentral:rRNA from 1 species
UGAGGAAUAUUGGUCAAUGGACGCAAGUCUGAACCAGCCAUGCCGCGUGAAGGAUGAAGGUCCUCUGGAUUGUAAACUUCUUUUAUCUGGGACGAAAAAAGCUCAUUCUUGAGCACUUGACGGUACCAGAAGAAUAAGCACCGGCUAACUCCGUGCCAGCAGCCGCGGUAAUACGGAGGGUGCAAGCGUUAUCCGGAUUUACUGGGUUUAAAGGGUGUGUAGGCGGAUUAUUAAGUCAGUGGUGAAAUCUCUGGGCUCAACCCGGAAACUGCCAUUGAUACUAUCAGUCUUGAAUUCUGUUGAGGUGGGCGGAAUACAUCAUGUAGCGGUGAAAUGCUUAGAUAUGACCCGGAACACCGAUUGCGAAGGCAGCCCACUAAGCAAUGAUUGACGCUGAGGCACGAAAGCGUGGGGAUCAAACA